UUGACUUGUACACUCCUGCACAAAUCCUGGAGGAGCAUUGGGGACAGAGACAAAGGACAGCAGGUUACUGCUGCAAUCUCUUGUCCAGAGCAGGCUUAAAUGUGACCAGGAGUCACAGAACUGAGUCACUCCUGAAUCAACCUUUUUUUGCUAGGCUGAGAGUGUCACAGAUGUCUGGCACCUGACUAGGGUCAGUCAAAGAUCUGAAUGAGCACAGGUCUGCCUCCUCCCAUGAUUUCUUCAUGUCUUAGCAAGCAAUAGGGUAAAUAACAAUACAGAUUAAAUAUAAACAAUGUAGUAUAUGGAGUUGCUACACUAAAGAAAUCAAAUGCUAUAUUAGACACUAAUUAUCUGAUUCAAAACAGCCUCUGUGGCUGAUGAAUGAGCAACACAUUAAGACAGACUUUUCUUGUCUCACUUUUGUCUUAUUUGUUGUUUUGUUUUGAGAUGGAGGUCCAGUGUAUCCAAGGAUAGCAUUGAACUCACUGUACAACAGAGGAGGACUUUGAACUUCUGAUUCUACUGCAUCUACCUCCUGAGUGCUAAGAUUACAGGUAUGUACCUCUCCACUUUGUUUAUACAACACUGGGAAUGGAACCCAGAGCUCUGUGCACAGUUGACAAGUACUCUACCAACUAAGCUCUGCCCCCAGCUCAUUGGCCUACUCAUUAAUAUAACAGAAAACAUGAAACAGUAUUCAUGUUGAAAUUAUAUUUGUUUAUUUAUGUUGAAUGUAAAUAUAAGCUGGGCAAGCAUCAGUAGACAUAUCCAUAAAAUCACCCCCUUUAUGUUAUUAUUUCAAAAUUGCAUUACAUGUCAGUGUAAUUUAUAGUAAACCUUGUGUAUGUAUAUGUAUGUCUCCUGUGUACAACCACUGUCCAUACACAGCACAUCACACAAAGAGACCUCACGCCUAACUCCCUCUGUUCUCUGCAUCCACUUUCUUCUGUUCCUGGGUUUGAAUGAAUUCCCUCCCCUCUGUAGACUUGUUCCCACACCCCAGGCCUUCCAUGAAACAAUGCUUGCUGAUAUGACCAUCAGUGAGCUGCAAUGGGUUUGUCUGUGCUCAGAGAAUGGAAGGAAAUCCCCUGCAUUUAUAAGCCAUGGGGAGGGCUCUCUUGCCUGACUCUCUUGCCUGGCCUCACAGGCUGACUUAGACCAGUUGGAUGGUUGCAUUCAGAGCUCACCAUCCACACUGACAUUUGUAACUUCCUUAGGCAGCUCAGAAAGAAAUAACCUAUAAAACCAGACCAGCCUUCCUGAUUUCUAUGGGAAAUUCUGCCAAAGAGAUACAGCAUUCUGUAUAGAGGUUCAUGAUAAAAACAUAGAUACCCUUCCUUCUAAGGGCCAUUUGAGGUACAUCUGAAAAUAUGAGUCAAUUUUGCCGGGCAAGCAAUUAACUGGUUAACUAGUCCUUGAUUGCUUUUAAAUUUCACUUGAACAUCACAUUUUGAAAUUCCGGAAGCAACAACAGUUCUGGUGUGAUAAAAGUACUGUUUUAACACAAACUUUUUUUUUUUCCCUUAAAGGAAGUCUCUUAAUUCUUCUGAAGGCCACCACAAAAACAAGUGUGAUUAAAUGGAUUGUUUUUCUUCAAAAUCAGUGGAGCAUAAUGGAUGCUAUAAUCUUCACCCAAAGCAUACCACCAAAUGAGUGUUUUUCUAACUAACAAGCUGUCCAAACCCAGGAGACCCAGUUACAAAGAUUUCCUGUAAUUCACUGGGAAUGUGCAAAAGAAGAAGAAGAAAAAAGGCAGAAUUAACAUUUCUGAAAAUACACAUUGAAAAUUCAAUUCUUUCAUCUUGGCUGCUUGGUUUCUUGUCUUCUUAAUAAUAUUCAAACUGUACCUCCCUCUGUUCAAGCCAUAAACUCUAAACAUCCACAUUUACCCGUGCUUUGACUAUAUCGUAGUAGGUUGAGAAUAUCCAGUCAUUCCUCUGAUUCAUCAGGUCAAUCCAAAUUUGAGCUAUUAGAGAUUGUACUUCUGUUUUCAGGUGAAACUUGUUCUGACAGGACAUUACCCAAGUGGGAAAGCUCACAUUGGUUUUCAAGUGCUUCUUGUCACCAUGAAUUAUCGGCAAGCCUCUGAUGACUGUCAUCUUCAAUGGUUUCUCCUCCAGGCAGAAUUUGGAAGUGUUAGCUGAAAGUGUCCAGUUCUUAGGUCAACACUAGCAUGUACUAUUCCCUAAGUGUGGCAUCCCAACAGCUGAUAGACAUGUUAGACACAGAUUUAUCCCCAGAAGAAAACACCUCCAUAGUCAGCUAGGUCUGUAAGACCCAGCUCAUAAGCACCUGAAGAGGUUAGCCUAAGGACUGUGGCCACAGUCCCUCCUGGUCUGCCACAUCUUACCAGAUUCAUUGUUCCUCUAUUGCCAGACAAGUUGCCUUCCAAAUGGUCACCUUUUCCUUCUGCAAUAGCACAGCUCUUAAUUUUAAUUUGGUUUGUGUCUACUCAUGAGUGAGAUGUCAUGUCUCAGGAUAGGAAAGCAGAAGUUUGAAUUUUUAGGUAGAGGUCAGUUGCUAGCCCUGAACUAAUUCAGACCUGUGAGGAAAUGUUAAUCUCUCCUUUUGUCACUACUGAAUUCCCCUUCACCUUAACUCCCAAUACCACACCUAGAAGGAUCACAGAAUCUGUGACAGUCUGAUACAUGCAGAUAUCAAUACUGCUAUGGAUCAUCUGGGCUUCUUUUGUGAACUCAUGUAUGUACACUUUUGCGCUUUCAUUUCUUCCUCUAGGAAGGACCUAGCAACCACGCCUCAGUUACCAUACAAGUCCUGUGGCCUACAUUAUCAGUUCAGCCCCAGUCCCCCCCGCCCUUCAUCUUAGCCAAAGAAUCAAAAACCAGUAACCCAAGACCACAAGCAUCAUUUACACUGUUUUGUUAAAUAGCGUUAUGUUUAAAUAUAACUGUUCAUUGAUUUGUUUAAGCAUUGCCUUACCUAUUAUAUGCUGGGGGUACAACUGUAAGCUAAACAUGAGUGAUCUUGCUCCUAGAGACUUAAAUAGACUGAAGGCAGGGUAGAAGUGAGUAGUAAGGAGUUGUGUUGUUUUCAUCAGAGUUGUGCAGUGGUAGUCAAGUGUGUCAGGCAGAAAGUGAAGUAUCUGCAAGCAAAAUAACACAUCUGGAAACUGCUUUUUUGGAAAGGGCUGAGAACAGAACCUUGGUCCUUGCACUCACUAAGCCCACACUAGUACUGAACUAUACCCCGGUCUUAGUAUUUACUUUUAAUUUAAAGUAGGGGAGGGAAAAUGGAUGAACUAGGCCUGGCAUGGAGUUGUGACUGCUGAAUGUUGAGGUCGGGAAUGUGGGGGUUCAUUACAGUGUGUUCUCUGCUUACCUCUGCUUGGAAAUUUCCCUAAUUAGAGGACUCAUUCCUCCCUCCAAGGAACUUAGAAAGAUAAUAAACAAAUAGCAAUUUAUGGUAUGUCAAUUAGAUCACAGAAGGGAGGCGAGAGGUGGGUAGAUAAACAUAACCUUCCCACAUCCAUGUGAUAUUUAUUUUAUAUAAUUGUCAAAUACAAGACAUGGAUAAGCUGACAAUCUAUAUUAGGGUAAGGAGCUAAUACCCAAGAAAUAAUAAAAAUAAUAAAUACAUAUGUUUUUGAGAAAUAAGAGGAUAUUUUGAAUUUUAUAAAAGUUGCUUUAAUGAAAUUUGAUGAAAAUAAUGACUAACAUUUACCUAACUUUUUCUUUGUUAGGACAGGGCUCUGCAAGCAUUUUAAAGGGUGACUGAUUCAAUCCCCAGCACAACUCCAGGAAGUUGUUAUGUAUUUCCCAUGUGUAAGACGAUGGGCCUAGGCCUACAGGGGCUGACCACUUUGUUCAAGACAAGUGAACCUCUGAAUGAUAAAGCUGGCUUUGAACCCAGGUCUAGCUCCAGAGUUGAAAUCUUCAACUAUCACACCUUAUGCCGCACUGCUUGCUUUGAUGAGGACCUAGAAGGCAGAAGCUGAAUGGAGCAGAGGGAAGAUGUAGGGCACAGUGAUACAGAAAAUCUAGAUAAGAUGAGGCUAGAAAGUAAACUUUCCAGCAAAGAGUAAGGUAUUCCUCUGGACACUUCUCCAUAAGCCCAAGACAUUGAGACCAAGAAUGGAGAAGGGGGAAUCAUGGGAGAGGGGUUUUCUAUCUUCUUUUUCACUUCUAUAUCCAGCUCCUUCUCACAUCAUCACCAUUAUCAUCACCACCAUCACCAUCAAUUUCGCCACACCCACCAGCAUUAUCACAACCAUUACCACCACCUCCAUUGUCACCAUCACUAUUCAGCCACUCACAAUAUUCCAGGCUGUUAGUGUCUGUUCUAGAAUAUGAUGUAAAAGAAUUGGGCACUAGAACAUACCAAACAGAUGGCAACCCAACAUCUAUUACAAAGCAACGUCAACUCAAUGAACAAACAUUUAACCUUCUCUCCAUGAUGGGUGCUGCACUAAAGUGUUGGAAACACAGAGUGAACAACUGUGACCUUUCCCCUGGUAAAGGUACUGACUUGGAGUUUUAGAGUAUACCUGUCUAGGAUUCAUGAAGACUAUUCCACAUCAAGCCUGCGAGUUGUCACUGAUCAUUCUAUAAAGACCCAGGACUCAGAGAAGCCAUUUGAGGACCCAAACUUGCUCUUCAGUACUUACACCAAGCAGCUCACAAACACCUGCUACUCAAGCUCCAGGGUGUAGCCUCCCCAGCCUGAAGCAGGCUGGUGCAGACCUUGUCGCCACUGAGGUGGGGCCACCUGCCGUGCAGCUUUCCUACUUGGCUGGCUUCCUUUUGAAGUGACAACUGCCCUGCUCUUCUCUGAGAUGCUGCUACCUGCUGAGAGGCUGAACCUGUCUUCCUGAAUAAGCAACAGCCUGGCGACCAAGUCCUGACAGCAUGGUGAC